rnacentral:rRNA from 1 species
UACAGAGGGUGCGAGCGUUAAUCGGAAUUACUGGGCGUAAAGGGCGCGUAGGCGGCACUGUUAGUCAGGCGUGAAAUUCCUGGGCUCAACCUGGGGACUGCGCUUGAUACGGCAGAGCUUGAGGAUGGAAGAGGGUCGCGGAAUUCCCAGUGUAGAGGUGAAAUUCGUAGAUAUUCGGAAGAACACCAGUGGCGAAGGCGGCUCACUGGACUGGUAUUGACGCUGAGGUGCGAAAGCGUGGGGAGCAAACAGG